UAAAAGUGGAGUUGAGAGACCACUUAAAUAAACGAGGAGUAACUGAAAAUCCUAAAGAGUAGGGAAACA
rnacentral:ncRNA from 1 species